UACGUAGGGUGCAAGCGUUGUCCGGAAUUAUUGGGCGUAAAGGAGCUCGUAGGCGGUUUGUUGCGUCGGCUGUGAAAUCCCGAGGCUCAACCUCGGGUCUGCAGUCGAUACGAGCAAACUAGAGUGUUGCAGGGAGACUGGAAUUCCUGGUGUAGCGGUGAAAUGCGCAGAUAUCAGGAGGAACACCGGUGGCGGAAGGCGGGU
rnacentral:rRNA from 1 species